rnacentral:rRNA from 1 species
CAGACGGGUGCGUAACGCGUAUGAAACUUACCCUUUACAGGGGGAUAGCCUUGGGAAACUGAGAGUAAUACCCCAUAGUAUUAUUGAAUGGCAUCAUUUGAUAAUUAAAGCUCAGGCGGUAAAGGAUAGUCGUGCGUCCGAUUAGCUAGUUGGUGAGGUAAUGGCUCACCAAGGCGACGAUCGGUAGCUGGUCUGAGAGGAUGAUCAGCCACACGGACACUGAGACACGGGUCCGACUCCUACGGGAGGCAGCAGUAAGGAAUAUUGGACAAUGGAGGCAACUCUGAUCCAGCCAUCCCGCGUGCAGGAAUAAUGCCCUAUGGGUUGUAAACUGCUUUAGCUAGGGAAUAAAUCUUGUGAUUCAUCAUAAGUUGAAGGUACCUAGAGAAUAAGCACCGGCUAACUCCGUGCCAGCAGCCGCGGUAAUACGGAGGGUGCAAGCGUUAUCCGGAUUUACUGGGUUUAAAGGGUGCGUAGGCUGAUUUUUAAGUCAGAUGUGAAAGCUUGCAGCUUAACUGUAAGAUUGCGUUUGAUACUGGAAGUCUUGAAUAUGGUGGAAGUAGGCGGAACGAAUCAUGUAGCGGUGAAAUGCAUAGAUAUGAUUCGGAACACCGAUUGCGAAGGCAGCUUGCUAUACCAUUAUUGACGCUGAGGCACGAAAGCGUGGGGAUCAAACAGGAUUAGAUACCCUGGUAGUCCACGCCCUAAACGAUGAAUACUCGAUGUAUGCGAUAUACUGUAUGCGUCUAAGCGAAAGCGUUAAGUAUUCCACCUGGGGAGUACGUCCGCAAGGAUGAAACUCAAAGAAAUUGGCGGGGGUCCGCACAAGCGGUGGAUUAUGUGGUUUAAUUCGAUG